rnacentral:rRNA from 1 species
AUUCCAGCUCCAAUAGCGUAUAUUAAAGUUGUUGCGGUUAAAGAGCUCGUAGUUGGAUUUCUUCAUAAGGAGGGCGGUCUGCGCUAUGCGCACGUAUCUGCUACUCUUUGUGAAUCCGGAAGUUUAAGGUGUGUCGCUUCAUUGCGACAUCCGUAGGCUUCUCUUUUACUUUGAGGAAAUUAGAGUGUUCACGGCAGGCAAUCGCCCUGAAUACAUUAGCAUGGAAUAAUAAUAUAGGACGCUGGCCCUAUUUUGUUGGUUUCUAGAGCUAACGUAAUGAUUAAUAGGGAUAAUUGGGGGCAUUCGUAUUAUCACGUCAGAGGUGGAAUUCUUGGAUUGUGUUACGACGAACUACUGCGAAAGCAUUUGCCAAGGAUGUUUUCAUUA